rnacentral:lncRNA from 1 species
UCGGUAUUGUGUCGGACACCGAUGCAGGUCGGACACUGGGACACGCUUAAUUCAAGAAGUGUCUGUGAUUCUUACACUCUAUAAUUAACCAAAUCAUGUCUCAACUCUAAACAUAGCCUGAAUAUCAUCAAUACACAACAACAAUAACAAUAUUCAAAUAUACAACAUCACCAUUCACCACCCUCUACAAAAUCAAACCAAACAAAUCAAGAUAACUAAUUAACUAUUAAUUCAAACCAAGAAAAACAAAAGGGGCAUCAUAAAUUGGUUAAUGAAAGUAACAAUACAGAUCCAAAAGAAGAAAAAAAAACAUAGAUCUCAUGAACUAGUAGGCCCACAAGAGAAAACCUGAUGAGGUAACCUCAAAGCUUCAGAUUUAGAGAAACAAGUAUCAUCAAGAUCUUGGCUGGUACACCAGGUACACUUGGAAUUCNNNNNNNNNNNNNNNNNNNNNNNNNNUAGAAAAAGGAAGAGAAAGAGAAAGAAGAGUGGUUUGGAGUUGGAGAUAGAGAACACCAUGGAUGAUGAUUCCAAGAUCAAAGAUUUCAGCUUUGAAAAAAAAAGGUAAGCUUUUUGAACUUUUUUUUUUUGGGUCAAGUACUUUUUUUUAUUAUUAUGUUUUUUUUGUUGUUCUUUUUAUUUUACUUUAUUUUUUAGACAUUAUUGAAAUGUGGACUUUUUCGGAUGCAACAAGAAGAAGAGUGUGUUGGAAACGACAGUGUCUUUGUUUGAUGAUUCUUCUGAGUUUAGGCGCUGGAACUGGAAUAGAAAUUGGUUAGGAUAUAUUUUUCGGUUUAAAUAUUAAUUAAUUAAUAUUACACGUUUUGUUUUUUCACAAACAUAAAUAAAUAAAUAAUGUUACUUUUUUUUAUAAAACUUAAAAAUAUUACUUUUUCUUUUUACAAGAAUAUUACUUUUUUAUAAAACUUAAAUAAAUAAUUUUAC